rnacentral:rRNA from 1 species
AGUGAACGCUGGCGGCGUGCUUAACACAUGCAAGUCGAACGAGAACGGAUUAUAGCUUGCUAUAAUUGUCAGCUAAGUGGCGCACGGGUGAGUAAUGUAUAGGUAAUAUGCCUUUUACUAAGGAAUAACAAAUGGAAACGUUUGCUAAUACCUUAUACUCCUUAUUAACCUAAGUUAAUAAGGGAAAGAUUUAUUGGUAAGAGAUUAGCCUGUAUUGUAUCAGUUAGUUGGUGGGGUAAUGGCUUACCAAGACUAUGACACAUAACUGGUUUGAGAGGAUGAUCCGUCAAACUGGAACUGAGACACGGUCCAGACUCCUACGGGAGGCAGCAGUGGGGAAUAUUGCACAAUGGACGGAAGUCUGAUGCAGCAACGCCGCGUGGAGGAUGACACAUUUCGGUGCGUAAACUCCUUUUAUAUGAGAAGAUAAUGACGGUAUUAUAUGAAUAAGCACCGGCUAACUCCGUGCCAGCCGCCGCAGUAA